rnacentral:rRNA from 1 species
CGAAGGGUGCUAGCGUUGUUCGGAAUCACUGGGCGUAAAGCGCGCGUAGGCGGCUUUUCAAGUCAGGGGUGAAAUCCCACAGCUUAACUGUGGAACUGCCUUUGAAACUGUAAAGCUGGAGUGUCGGAGGGGAUAGCGGAAUUGCUAAUGUAGAGGUGAAAUUCGUAGAUAUUAGCAGGAACACCGGUGGCGAAGGCGGCUAUCUGGACGACAACUGACGCUGAGGCGCGAAAGCGUGGGGAUCAAACAGGAUUAGAUACCCUGGUAGUCCACGCUGUAAACGAUGGAUGCUAGCCGUUGGAGGGAUACCCUUCAGUGGCGCAGCUAACGCGUUAAGCAUCCCGCCUGGGGAGUACGGUCGCAAGAUUA